CAUAGCGACUAUCGUGGCAUAUCAAUAAGCGGAGGAAAAGAAACUAACUAGGAUUCCCUUAGUAACGGCGAGUGAAGCGGGAAGAGCUCAAAUUUGAAAUCUUCAAGGUUCUACCUUGACGAAUUGUAGUUUAUAGAAGUGUUUUCUGUUGGAGUUUUCGGUAAAAGUUCUUUGGAAUAGGACAUCAUAGAGGGUGAGAAUCCCGUAUUUGACCGUUAUUUCUCUAGCUGUGUGAUACACUUUCAAAGAGUCGGAUUGUUUGGGAAUGCAGUCCAAAAUGGGUGGUAAAUUUCAUCUAAAGCUAAAUAUUGGCGAGAGACCGAUAGCGAACAAGUACCGUGAGGGAAAGAUGAAAAGAACUUUGAAAAGAGAGUUAAACAGUACGUGAAAUUGUCAAAAGGGAAGCGUUUGACACCAGUGUUGUUUUUCCGAAAAUCAAUUAAAAAUUGAUUCAUGCCAGGUUGUAUUGACCUUAUCAGCUUGCAAUUUGGCUUUGGGUCUCUUUUUGAUGCACUUUUCGGUUAACAAGUCAACAUCAAUUUCCUUUGCUGUAAAAAGGUAAGAGGAAGGUGGCUUCAAUUUCGGUUGAAGUGUUUAUAGCCUUUUAUCUCUGCAGUCGGGGAGAUUGAGGUCUGCAGCGUAGAUCCUUCGGGGCUAGAUACAUUUAUGCUAAGUUAUAGCUUUUCAUAGACAACUUGUUGACUAUGUUUAGUCAUGUAGCUUACUCGUAAGUGCUAUUUUACCUACGCUUAGGAUGUUGAUAGUCACAGCGUGUAC
rnacentral:rRNA from 1 species